UCAAUUAAUUCCUUAUCUUGACGUGCACAAAUAAUCAUACAGCGUAAUUUUUUUUGCACACCUUACCUUACUUCGUUUUGCAAUAAUAUUUAGUUACUACACAGCAAUAUUUCUCGCCUCUCCAGGCCGAAGUUUUCUGCUAUUCUACAUAUGUAGGUAUGGUUCAUCUAUUAAAAAUGCGUCAUUUUUUAUAAAUCUAUUCUACACAUUUUAUUGAUUUUCCUAUAAACGGGCUUGGUGUGUGUCAACGGUUCAAAGUUUUCAAAACGUUAUUAGUUUUGAAAAUAUGUGAAGAAUUGCAUGAACGGCUCAAACUCAAAAUUCAAAAAAAAUAUAACAUGCACCAAAUAGUCUUCUAGAAAAAUUGACGCAUUUUUAAUAGAUGAACCAUAGAUAGGUAGGCAGGUUUUUAUUAAACUGAAUUGAUGUGGCCAUACGGCCUUACAAGUAUACACACGAUUUAAAUUAUUUAGUAAGUAUCGUACAUAAAUAUAUAAUGCAUACAUACGUAUGUAUACAAGUUUAAUUAAUAGUUUAGCAUCAUCAUAUGGGUCAUGUGUAGAGUUAAAAAUUGAUAUGUGAGUGAAUCAGUUUAUUUCACUUAUUAUCAUUGCAUACGCAUUACACAAAUUACCCAUCAGAGAAGCUGACUGCAAAGGAGUAGUACCUACAUUAAAAAUCCCUAACCUGAAUAAAAAACGAGGAAAUCAUAAAAAAGUCAAAAUAAGUUAAAAAAUUGAUUGGUGUGCACAGUAAAAAUUCGAGGUAACCCUUUUUUGUGUACAAAUGAUUCCAACACUGUACAUUGUAAACCGUGUCCUACCGGGAGUAAGAUCGUCAAUGCGAUAUGGUGUUAACCCAUGAGUGACAGGGUGCCGAGUAAAUGUUGACUGGCUUACUCGUCCCCGUGUUAAUGUUACCCAGGCACGAAUUAUGCCACUGCGAUUUACUCCUCACGGAGUAAAAAGGGAGCGUCGGGCGGCACGAAGCUUUGUCAGUCUACAACUCGCCAAAAUAAUUUUAUAACUUCGUCUGACUACCAUAAAUUUAAUAAUUCUGCUGAGGUAACUAAUUAAUAACAUAUCUACAUUUAAUAAUAAUUAUGUGGUUAGCAUAAUCCUAUAUUCUUUGGUGCACAAACUACUUACUAUAUAGUGAUGUCCAGUUUUAUUGAAAUAUAAGAGAAAUGUGAUUUGAGCGAUUACUUCCAAAGUUUCUAGAUAACCACAUAUGCGAUGACACCUUGUCGACAUUCGAAUAGACCUGGUUGAACUUGUUCCGAGCAUUGACAUCGCUUUAAACUUUGGACAGCCAUUACAAAUUCGGGCAACUAUCUUACUAUUUAUUGGAUUUUACAGUUAUAGAUAGUUGAUAAGCAUAGAAAUAAUUUUAAAUUGUUACCCACAAUUUUGUUACACCGGAUUAAAUACGGAGUUUUUAAAUGAA